AGCAGCCGCGGUAAUUCCAGCUCCAAUAGCGUAUAUUAAAGUUGUUGCAGUUAAAAAGACUCGUAGUUGAAUUUCGGGAUCAGUACGCUGGUCGUGCCUUCGGUAUGAACUGGUGUCACUGGUUCCUCCCUUCUGAAGAACCGUCAUGCCAUUCAGUUGGUGUGGCGGGGAAUCAGGACUGUUACUUUGAAAAAAUUAGAGUGUUUAAAGCAGGCUCGCGCUUGAAUACAUUAGCAUGGAAUAAUGAAAUAGGACGUUUGACCCUAUUUUGUUGGUUUCUAGGAUCGACGUAAUGAUUAAUAGGGAUAGUUGGGGGCAUUAGUAUUCAAUUGUCAGAGGUGAAAUUCUUGGAUUUAUUGAAGACUAACUACUGCGAAAGCAUUUGCCAAGGAUGUUUUCAUUAAUCAAGAACGAAAGUUAGGGGAUCGAAGACGAUCAGAUACCGUCGUAGUCUUAACCAUAAACUAUGCCGACUAGGGAUCGGAUGAUGUUAAUUUUUAAUGACUCAUUCGGCGCCUUA
rnacentral:rRNA from 1 species